AGUGAACGCUGGCGGCGUGCUUAACACAUGCAAGUCGAACGAGAACGGAUUAUAGCUUGCUAUAAUUGUCAGCUAAGUGGCGCACGGGUGAGUAAUGUAUAGGUAAUAUGCCUUUUACUAAGGAAUAACAAAUGGAAACGUUUGCUAAUACCUUAUACUCCUUAUUAACCUAAGUUAAUAAGGGAAAGAUUUAUUGGUAAGAGAUUAGCCUGUAUUGUAUCAGUUAGUUGGUGGGGUAAUGGCUUACCAAGACUAUGACACAUAACUGGUUUGAGAGGAUGAUCAGUCACACUGGAACUGAGACACGGUCCAGACUCGUACGGGAGGCAGCAGUCGGGAAUAUUGCACAAUGGACGGAAGUCUGAUGCAGCAACGCCACGUGGAGCAUGACACAUUUCGGAGCGUAAACUCCUUUUAUAUGAGAAGAUAAUGACGGUAUUAUAUGAAUAAGCACCGGCUAACUCCGUGCCAGCCGCCGCCGUAA
rnacentral:rRNA from 1 species